AGCGUCACCGGGUCGACCGCGCGGGUCACCAGCAGAUAGUCCCGCAUCGCCAUCGCGUGGCGGCCCUC
rnacentral:sRNA from 1 species